rnacentral:rRNA from 1 species
AGGUUAAGUGAAUAAGGGCGCACGGUGGAUGCCUUGGCACUAGGAGCCGAUGAAGGACGGGACUAACACCGAUAUGCUUUGGGGAGCUGUAAGUAAGCUAUGAUCCAGAGAUUUCCGAAUGGGGGAACCCAAUAUCUUUUAUAGGAUAUUACUUUUCAGUGAAUACAUAGCUGAUUAGAGGUAGACGCAGAGAACUGAAACAUCUUAGUACCUGCAGGAAGAGAAAGAAAAUUCGAUUCCCUGAGUAGCGGCGAGCGAAACGGGAAGAGCCCAAACCAACAAGCUUGCUUGUUGGGGUUGUAGGACUCCGAUAUGGUAGUCUGUUAGUAUAGUUGAAGGAUUUGGAAAAUUCCGCUAAAGAGGGUGAAAGCCCCGUAGACGAAAUGCUAACAACACCUAGGAGGAUCCUGAGUACGGCGGAACACGAGAAAUUCCGUCGGAAUCCGCGGGGACCAUCCCGCAAGGCUAAAUACUCCCUAGUGACCGAUAGUGAACCAGUACCGUGAGGGAAAGGUGAAAAGCACCCCGGAAGGGGAGUGAAAUAGAUCCUGAAACCGUGUGCCUACAACAAGUCAAAGCUCGUUAAUGAGUGAUGGCGUGCCUUUUGUAGAAUGAACCGGCGAGUUACGAUUGCAUGCGAGGUUAAGUCGAAGAGACGGAGCCGCAGCGAAAGCGAGUCUGAAUAGGGCGAAUGAGUAUGU